rnacentral:rRNA from 1 species
CUACGGGGGGCUGCAGUGGGGAAUAUUGCACAAUGGGCGCAAGCCUGAUGCAGCCAUGCCGCGUGUGUGAAGAAGGCCUUCGGGUUGUAAAGCACUUUCAGCGGGGAGGAAGGCGUUAAGGUUAAUGACCUUGUCGAUUGACGUUACCCGCAGAAGAAGCACCGGCUAACUCCGUGCCAGCAGCCGCGGUAAUACGGAGGGUGCAAGCGUUAAUCGGAAUUACUGGGCGUAAAGCGCACGCAGGCGGUCUGUCAAGUCGGAUGUGAAAUCCCCGGGCUCAACCUGGGAACUGCAUUCGAAACUGGCAGGCUAGAGUCUUGUAGAGGGGGGUAGAAUUCCAGGUGUAGCGGUGAAAUGCGUAGAGAUCUGGAGGAAUACCGGUGGCGAAGGCGGCCCCCUGGACAAAGACUGACGCUCAGGUGCGAAAGCGUGGGGAGCAAACAGGAUUAGAUACCCGAGUAGUC